GGAGAGGUGUCGGAGCCUGGUUGAACGAGCGCGAUUGGAAAUCGCGUAGGCGGCAAAACCGUCUCGAGGGUUCGAAUCCCUCCCUCUCCGCCA
rnacentral:tRNA from 1 species